AGGCGGGGCGGGAGAGGUGGGGGAGUGGGUGGCAGCCGCCGCGCUGGGAGCCGAGCAGAGCCGCGCCGAUCGCCAUCCGGCCUGGGCACUCGCGCGCGAUCCCGGCCGGCAGCGCGGCCCAUGGAGCUCGAGAACAUCGUAGCGGACACGGUGCUCCUCAAGGCCCGGGAAGGUAGCGGUGGAAAUCGCAAAGGCAAAAGCAAGAAAUGGCGGCAGAUGCUCCAGUUCCCCCACAUCAGCCAGUGCGAAGAGCUGCGGCUCAGUCUCGAACGUGACUAUCACAGCCUGUGCGAGCGGCAGCCCAUCGGGCGCCUGCUGUUCUGAGAGUUCUGUGCCACCAGGCCGGAGCUGAGCCGUUGCAUCGCCUUCCAGGAUGGGAUGGCCGAGUAUGAAGCGACCCCGGAUGAGAAGCGGAAGGCAUGUGGGCGGCGGCUAAUGCAGAAUUUUCUUGAGCCACAGGUUCCUGACCUCAUCCCUGAGGUCCCCCCGGCAGCUGGUGACGAACUGCACCCAGCGGCUGGAGCAGGGGCCCUGCAAAGAACUCUCCCAGGAACUCACCCGGGUGACCCACGGGUACCUGAGCAUGGCCCCUUUUGCCGACUACCUCAACAGCAUCUACUUCAACCGUUUCCUGCAGUGGAAGUGGCUGGAAAGGCAGCCAGUGACCAAAAAUACCUUCAGGCAGUACCGAGUCCUGGGCAAAGGUGGCUUUGGGGAGGUGUGCGCCUGCCAGGUGCGGGCCACAGGCAAGAUGUACGCCUUCAAGAAGCUAGAAAAAAAGCGGAUCAAGAAGCAGAAAGGGGAGGCCAUGGCGCUGAACGAGAAGCAGAUCCUGGAGAGAGUGAACAGUAGGUUUAUAGUGAGCUUGGCCUACACCUGUGAGACCAAGGAGGCGCUGUGCCUGGUGCUGACGCUGAUGAACGGGGGCGACCUCAAUUUCCACAUCUGCCACAUGGGCCGGGCUGGCUUCCCCGAAGCGCAGGCCGUCUUCUACGUCCCGAGAUCUGCUUGCGGUCUGGAGGACCUGCACCGGGAGCGCAUAGUGUACAGGGACCUGAAGCCAGGAACAUCUUGCUGGAUGACCACGGCCACAUCCUCGUCUCCGACCUGGGACUGGCUGUGCACGUGCCCGAGGGCCAGACCAUCAAAGGCCGUGUGGGCACCGUGAGCUACAUGGCUCCAGAGGUGGUGAAGAAUGAACCGUACACUUUCAGCUCUGACUGUUGGGCGCUAGGCUGCCUCCCGCAGGAGAUGAUUGCAGGCCAGUCGCUCUUCCAGCAGAGGAAGAAGAUGAUCAAGCGGGAGGAGGUGGAGCGGCUGGUGAAGGAGGACCCCGAGGAGUAUUCCGAGCGCUUUUCCCCGCAGGCCUGCUCACAGCUCCUCUGCAAGGACCCCGCUGAACGCCUGGGGUGUCGUGGGGGCAGUGCCCGCGAAGUGAAGGAGCACCCCCUGUUGAAGAAGCUGAACUUCAAGCGGGUGGGAGCCGGCAUGCUGGAGCCGCCCUUCAAGCCUGACCCUCGGGCCAUUUACUGCAAGGAUAUUCUGGACAUUAAACAGUUCUCUAGGGUCAAGGGUGUGGAGCUGGAGGCUACCGACCAAGACUUCUACCAGAAGUUUGCCACAGGCAGUGUGCCCAUCCCCUGGCAGAAGGGGAUGGUGGAGACUGAGUGCUUCCAGGAGCUGAAUGUCUUUGGGCUGGAUGGCUCAGUUCCCCCAGACCUGGACUGGAAGGGCCAGCCACCUGCAAGGGACUGCUGCAGAGACUCUUCAGUCGCCAAAGGAUUGCUGUGGAAACUGCGGGGACAGCGAGGAAGAGCUCCCUACCCGCCUCUAGCCCCCAGCCAGAGGCCCCCACGGGCAGUGGGCGGUAGUAGCUACUCCGAGUGCCUUUUACAGUUUUGCACAGUGGACUUCCCCAUUGUCCACUCAAGUUGUGGCCUGGGGAACACAGACGGAACUGUCCCCAGUGUCCUCUGCCCCCUCAGCCCCUGGCCUGCCUGAGUUUGGCAGGGCCUGGGCCAUCCCUGGGACAAAGGUGCGUCCCUUCAGCUCUUCUCCGUGGAGCUCGGGGCUUUCUGUAUUUAUGUAUUUGUACCAAUGUAUAUAGUGACCAGGGCAUUCUUAGUUCCUGCCACAGACCUGGCGCCCCCUCCUUGGCUCCUGGGGGCAGCCAGCCCUGGCUGGGAGAGCGGGAGCUGGCAGAGGAGCCACUGCCAAACUUAAGGCUCCUCCGACCCAGCUUGGAUGGCUGAGGAUCACACCCCUGAGCCUUCAGCACGGUGCUGACCACCCCUAGCCUCUGAGUAAGACUUGUGCCUGCCCCUGCUGCCCUGGACUCAGGCUUCUGCCCUCUGGGGACUAAAGCUGUCCCUUCUCAGUACUUGUCAGAGCUGGAUCUGGGGCCUGUAUAUCCCCUAGGCCUGUGCCAAAGUGGCCAGAGAUUGGGCCGGCUGUGAGACCCAUCAGCCCACUGCCCCGGCCGGCCCAGAUAGGUCUGCCUCUACCUUCCAGCUCCCAGGGCCUGGUCCCUGAUGCUUUCAGGGACGUUUCAGAAACGCCCGAGCCCAGCCCCUAGGAGGGGGUGGGGCAUCCCUGGCCAACCCUCAAACAUUCCCAACUCCUCUCAUAACACUAGACACAUGUGCCCAGCAAAAAAAAAAAGGACAAAUGCUUCGUGAUUUCACUUAUAUGAGGCACCUAAAGUAGUGAAAUUCAUAGAGACAGAAAGUAGAAUGUUGGUUGUCGGGAGCUGGGGGCAGUGGGGAAUAGGGAGAUAUUGUUUAAUGAGGGCAGAGUUUCAGUUGGGGAAGAUAAAAAUGUUCUGAAGAUGGAUGGUGUGGAUGGUGGUGAUGGCUGUGCCAUACAUAAUGUGAAAGUACUUAAUGUUCUUGAACUGUGCACUUAAAAUGGUUAAAUGGUAAAUUUUAUGUUAUGUAUAUUUUGCUGCAAAAACCCACUUAUACAAUAUAAGGUGACAUUAUUCCUGAUAUUUUCUUACCUCUCCCCCUCAUACACCCACCCCUACUGCUGUGCAUAUUCCAGAUUUUGAUAAACACUUGCUAAACCAA